CCGAAGCCGUUACAAUGUGAGCCCUAUUCUAUUGGCACUAUGGCCUUAUCCCUCACUUUCACCACCUCCUGAGGAGCCUCAGCAGCUUCCUCGGCAGAUGCAAUAUCUGGGCAACCUCCAGUAGGUCCACCGAACUUCGCCUCUAGAACAGAAGUGUCCAAUGUCAGGUGAACCUCCUUCAACCACUCCAGCAUCACUUAGGCAUUCCAGGAAGCCCAAUAGUUGGCGAAGGUGUCAUAUAAAGGAUGCAUCUCGAAGUGGUUAAAGACUCAAUCUCCUCCACUUGGGCCUCCACCCUCUACCUUAGCUCAGCCUUCUCUUUGUUCGAGGCUUCCAGAGCCUCCGUAACCAAACGGUGGUACUCGUUAGCGUGAUCAAGUUGCCUCGUCAAAGCGGCCACUUGGCUCUCCAUCUCAUGGAGCUCCUUCCUCAACCUCUCAACGUCGGAGUUAGCUCUCCCCAACUAGCUUUCUGCCUCUGCCCUCUUUCUCUCCACCUUAGCUGUCUUGGCCUCCGCCUCCCUCACUGCUUCCUCAUACAGCAAGUUCGCUUCUAACCGCU
rnacentral:lncRNA from 1 species